GUGCAGCUCAAGGCCCUGGUGGAAUUGUGGGGGUGGGGGAGUCUUGCGGCGGAAUUUUCGGGCUUCAGUGCGACUGGACUCUCGGACUGACCUGCAACAAUGGCAUUUGUAUUGGAGAACUAUUCGGCAAUACGGGCGAUGGCACUGGAGGGAACCCCGCGAUCAUCAUAUGAAGAGCACCACUGGAAAAGGCUACUACAGUUGACUAAUUAACCACUAAUGACCAGCUUAAACAGGGCUUCUUCGGUGGAAUUAAUUGAUAUUACCUUUAGACAGUGAUUCCAAAUGGUAUAGACAUAUAUUUUGUAAUGUUUUGGCUACCAUAAUAAUAUGAGGACUGAACUUCAAUAGAGUGUUUCUAUUAUGCAACUGCUUACGUUGACGAUUAGCAAUUGAAUGUGCAU